rnacentral:rRNA from 1 species
AUUGAACGCUGGCGGCAUGCUUUACACAUGCAAGUCGAACGGUAACAGGCCGCAAGGUGCUGACGAGUGGCGAACGGGUGAGUAAUGCAUCGGAACGUGCCCAGUCGUGGGGGAUAACGCGGCGAAAGCUGUGCUAAUACCGCAUACGAUCUAUGGAUGAAAGCGGGGGACCGUAAGGCCUCGCGCUAUUGGAGCGGCCGAUGUCAGAUUAGGUAGUUGGUGGGGUAAAGGCUCACCAAGCCAACGAUCUGUAGCUGGUCUGAGAGGACGACCAGCCACACUGGGACUGAGACACGGCCCAGACUCCUACGGGAGGCAGCAGUGGGGAAUUUUGGACAAUGGGCGCAAGCCUGAUCCAGCAAUGCCGCGUGCAGGAAGAAGGCCUUCGGGUUGUAAACUGCUUUUGUACGGAACGAAACGGUCUGGGUUAAUACCCUGGGCUAAUGACGGUACCGUAAGAAUAAGCACCGGCUAACUCUGUGCCAGCCGCCGCCGUAACAC